CCCUUAGAUGUUCUGGGCUGCACGCGUGCUACAAUGGCGCUUGCAACGAGUCUUGCCAACCCGAUAGGGUGAGCGGAUCUUUGAAGAGGCGUCGUGAUCGGGACAGUUGAUUGCAAUUAUUCGACUCGAACGAGGAAUUCCUUGUAAUCGCGAUUCAUCAUAUCGCGCUGAAUACGUCCCUGCCCUUUGUACACACCGCCCGUCGCUCCUACCGAUUGAGCGAUCCGGUGAAUGUUUUGGACUGGCGUCAGAAGCGGUUCGCUCCUGACACUACGAAAUUUUGUAAACCUUAUCGCUUAGAGGAAGGAAAAGUCGUAACA
rnacentral:rRNA from 1 species